UGAGUUGAGUAUUCUCCCAGUGAAGUAGAUAUACGCUUGCCAGGACAAUCCUGCAGAACCUUAACAGCUAAACGCCUGGGACAGGGUCCUAGAAGAAAGAGAGCUCCUAAUAAGUGCCUGUUGGCAUCCACCAGAAUGUGCAAGUUCUGUCAUUUCCCCACUCUCAUGUCUAUGUCUAUGUUUUAUCUCCUUUCAACAGCAGGAACAAAACACCAGUCCUUAAGGGCCUGGGCAUUAGUGGACAGGAGCCAAGGUGCCUGAGGACAA
rnacentral:lncRNA from 1 species